rnacentral:rRNA from 1 species
CCUACGGGCGGCAGCAGUGAGGAAUAUUGGUCAAUGGACGAGAGUCUGAACCAGCCAAGUAGCGUGAAGGAUGACUGCCCUAUGGGUUGUAAACUUCUUUUAUAUGGGAAUAAAAUGUUCCACGUGUGGGAUUUUGUAUGUACCAUAUGAAUAAGGAUCGGCUAACUCCGUGCCAGCAGCCGCGGUAAUACGGAGGAUCCGAGCGUUAUCCGGAUUUAUUGGGUUUAAAGGGAGCGUAGGUGGAUUGUUAAGUCAGUUGUGAAAGUUUGCGGCUCAACCGUAAAAUUGCAGUUGAAACUGGCAGUCUUGAGCACAGUAGAGGUGGGCGGAAUUCGUGGUGUAGCGGUGAAAUGCUUAGAUAUCACGAAGAACUCCGAUUGCGAAGGCAGUUCACUGGACUGCAACUGACACUGAGGCUCGAAAGUGUGGGUAUCAAACAGGAUUAGAUACCCCUGUAGUC